GUCGUAACAAGGUUUCCGUAGGUGAACCUGCGGAAGGAUCAUUAAUAUUGUUUUUACACCCUUUUAGGCACAAACUCUAAAUCUUAACCCUCAAUAACUUUAUCAAAAAACUUUCAACAACGGAUCUCUUGGUUCUCGCAUCGAUGAAGAACGCAGCGAAUUGCGAUACGUAAUAUGACUUGCAGACGUGAAUCAUUGAAUCUUUGAACGCACAUUGCGCCCCGGGGUAUUCCCCAGGGCAUGCGUGGGUGAGCGAUAUUUACUCUCAAACCUCCGGUUUGGUCCUGCUUCGGCCUAAUAUCAACGGCGCUAGAAUAAGUUUUAGCCCCAGCCUUUUUCCUCACCCUCGUAAGACUACCCGCUGAACUUAAGCAUAUCAAUAAGCGGAGGAAAAGAAACCAACAGGGAUUGCCUCAGUAACGGCGAGUGAAGCGGCAAAAGCUCAAAUUUGAAAUCCCCCGGGAAUUGUAAUUUGAAGAGAUUUGGGUCCGGCCGGCGGGGGUUAAGUCCACUGGAAAGUGGCGCCACAGAGGGUGACAGCCCCGUGAACCCCUUCAACGCCCUCAUCCCAGAUCUCCAAGAGUCGAGUUGUUUGGGAAUGCAGCUCUAAGUGGGUGGUAAAUUCCAUCUAAAGCUAAAUACCGGCGAGAGACCGAUAGCGAACAAGUACAGUGAUGGA
rnacentral:misc_RNA from 1 species